CCCUGACCUCGGAUCAGACGAGAAUACCCGCUGAACUUAAGCAUAUCACUAAGCGGAGGAAAAGAAACUAACCAGGAUUCCCCUAGUAACUGCGAGUGAAGGGGGAUUAGCCCAGCACCGAAGCCUGCGGCCGUUUGGCUGCUAGGCAAUGUGGUGUUCAGGUUGUCUCUUGGCAUUACUGCUCCAUCCUAAGUCCAGUACUGAGUAUGGCAUCUGGAGUGGCCCUUGGAGGGUGAAAGGCCCGUGGGGGUGGAGAUCAAGUCGGCCAGUUUUGCCCUGAGUAAACCUUGGAGUCGGGUUGUUUGUGAAUGCAGCCCAAAGCGGGUGGUAAACUCCAUCCAAGGCUAAAUACUAACACGAGUCCGAUAGCGAACAAGUACCGUGAGGGAAAGUUGAAAAGUACUUUGAAGAGAGAGUAAACAGUGCGUGAAACCGCUCAGAGGUAAACGGGUGGAGUUGAACUGUAAGCUCCGGGGAUUCAACUGGUGAGUGUGUCAUGGGCUUGGUCAUUUUCGGCCGGCCUCUGGAGUCCGCUUAGCUGCGGGUCCUUGCUUCUUCGGGAGUAGGGAUGUGCGUUGCGCUUAUCAAGUGCUGUGCGCUCUAGGGGUUGCCGGGCUGGCUCGCCGGUGCACUUUCCCGGAGUGGUCACCACGACCGGCGUUGUUGUCUUGCUGCUGUAGUCGAACCGGCCAGGUUUGGUCCUUGUGGCUGAAUUUGGUCGGGAUGGCAGGUAGCUCAUUGAUUGGCUUGCCAGUCUUUGGGUGUAAUCAGCUGGCUGCAGUGGUUAUGUGCGAUACGUCGGAGACGGCGGCUUCAGGUAUGUGCUUAUGUGCCGUUGGCUGGCAGUGUCGGGUUUGACUGGCGUGUUUACCUGCUUCGGUAGGUCCGUUGGUAGCUCGGUGCUGUUCGGUAGAUGGUUGCGUUUGUGAUACCGUUAAUGGGCCCAUAGUCUGUGGUGUAGCAGCAAACGAUCCACCUGACCCGUCUUGAAACACGGACCAAGGAGUUUAACAUGUGCGCGAGUCAUUGGGCGUUACGAAACCCAAAGGCGCAGUGAAAGUGAAGGUUCGGCUUGUCCGAGCUGAGGUGAGAUCCUGUGGCUUCUCGAGCGAGGUACCACCAAGUUUGUGAGCUAUGGGCGCAUCACCAGCCCGUCUCAUGGUGUAGUCUUGUGGCCUUGUGUCGCUUGCAUCACCGGGGCGGAGCUUGAGCGUACAUGUUGAGACCCGAAAGAUGGUGAACUAUGCUUGCGCAGGUUGAAGCCAGAGGAAACUCUGGUGGAGGACCGCAGCGAUUCUGACGUGCAAAUCGAUCGUCUAACGUGAGUAUAGGGGCGAAAGACUAAUCGAACCAUCUAGUAGCUGGUUCCCUCCGAAGUUUCCCUCAGGAUAGCUG
rnacentral:rRNA from 1 species